CUCCCCUCUCCAAACUCAGGCCCUCCCAGGGGAGGAGAGAUGAGAGGGCUGAGUCCGAAGGCUGCAGUGUUAAUAAUGAAUGGGGGAAUGAGGGCCCUUAUCAGGUUUCCUUCCCAAGGGAGGCAGGAAGGCCCAUUCACCCCUCUGGCCAGUAUUGCGGGAGGGAGAAUGUCAGCCCACCUCUAGGCUGUGCUGCAGGGGACAUGCACUGAGGAGGCUCUUCCCCUGCCACAGGGGAGAAAAUGAGGCAGGGAAAGGUGAAGAUGACCCUCCCAGCAGGGAUGGGCUGCGGAGGUGUUUCUUGGGUAUGCUCCAAGCCCCUGAGCUUCAGGAAGGGGCGGGAUGAUGGCAACUGGAGAUUAGGAUGGAGAGGAAAUAGUGGAACUUCCAGGCACCAGCCCCUCCUCCCGGUGGCCACCCACAUCCUGUUUCUCUCCACCACCCUUUCCUGGGGGUAGUACCCCUCUUGCAGGGGGGCAGGGAGUGAUCCCUGAAUGUUAAGCCAAAGGUAGAGUGGACACAGGGAGCUUCUGAUCCAGUCCCCUUGGUUACAGGCCUGGGGCGGAGUCUUCCCAGGAUGACAUAGGGCUGGUCGGGGUGGGGGGCAUGAGGUCCCAAUGAGGGGACCCCAAUAUGGUUAGCAUUCACCCUGGACGUCCUGGUUCUUCAGUCAGUGAGUCAGGGACAGGUAGGGGGAAGGAGAAGAAGCCCUAGAGGACAGUUUGGAGGGCUGGUGGACAGUGGGCCAGGAAGGCUGAGUACUGGUGGCCAGCUGUUGCCAGGGAGCUGGGAUGAGAAGGCAGGUGUGAGGCGAGGGACUCCAGGCACAGCAACUCCUGCAGCCAAGGAGUCAGCAGAACCUCUGUGAGCUGGGCCACCAGAACCUUAACUGGCUGUUAAGGCAGGUGAACGGAGUGCCUGGACGAGGACCUCCUGCCCGCUCCCACGCCCC
rnacentral:lncRNA from 10 species